AUGAUGGCUCCCGAGAGGAACGGGGCUGCUCGGCUGCUCAGAGGAGAGCCCCGUUCUCCUUCCGCAGGGCGCAGAGGAGGCAGCUGGGUAAGGCAGCAAAGAGGUUGCUCAAGCCCAGCUGUUGCUCAACGCUCGCUGCCAACGGCCCACGGCCAGAGCGAUGGAGACGGGAAUUCUGCAACACCUGGGGGGCCACAGGGCCGAACCCAAAGAAGUGCUACCCUCCCGCAGCGUCCUGGAACAAUGAGUCAGUCCAAGUCUGAGCGCCAAGCCUGGGAUAAAGACUCCCCUGCCUUCAGGGCCUCUCUCUGGCACCAAUCUCCAUUCCGGUUCCUCUUGCCCGCAGGGAAGGCUGGCUUCUGCGCCCCGUCCCCCAAUGGGCUGUAUGAGCCCCCCUGCACGGUGCACUGCGAGGCAGACAGCGAGUGUCCUGCAGAUGGAAAGUGCUGCGAAUUUGCCUGCAGCUACACGUGCCGGCCGCCCAUNAAAGGCCUCCUCUGAGCAAAUCCGCCUCUGCCACCUUUCACGCGCAGGCAGCAAGCCUCCCUGGGCCGGAAGGGGAGCUUCCUGAUCUUGCAGCUGGUGCAGACCCAACAGCGCACUGAGGAGCCCAAAGCACAGGGCAGGGCAGAUCCUGGCAGACAAAGGUUCAAAGAACAUAAGAACCUAAGAGGGGACCUGCUGGAUCANGCCACAGCCCAUCUAGUCCAGCAUCCCGUCUCACCCAAUGGCCCACCAGUUGAGUCAGGGCAUCUCAAGCAGAAGACAAAGGCAGAACCUUCCCCUGCUCUCCACUCCCUGCAAAUGCCCUUUAGAGACCUCCUGCCUGUCUCUCCAACCUGGAGGCAGCACCUGGGAUCCAUUCUAGCAGCCAUUGAUACACCUGAUCUCUCUGAUUUUCCUUGCCAUCCUGGGAUGGUGGUAGAAUAAUAUUAACAAUUGAC
rnacentral:lncRNA from 1 species